rnacentral:rRNA from 1 species
GACGAACGCUGGCGGCGUGCUUAACACAUGCAAGUCGAACGGAGAACCUCUGCUGGUGGGGGGUGCGUGAGUAGCGAACGGGUGACUAGCACGUGAGUAACCUGCCCUUGACGGUGAGAUAACUGCAAUAAACUCUAGCUAAUGCCGUGUAGGAGCACCUGCUGCAUGGGUGGGGUUGGGAUUUUUCGGCUGGGGAUGAGCCCGCGGCCUAUCAGCUUGUUGGUGGGGUAGUGGCCUACCAAGGCGACGACGGGUAGCCGGCCUGAGAGGGUGACCGGCCACACUGGGACUGAGACACGGCCCAGACUCCUACGGGAGGCAGCAGUGGGGAAUAUUGCACAAUGGGCGGAAGCCUGACGCAGCGACGCCGCGUGCGGGAUGACGGCCUUCGGGUUGUAAACCGCUUUCGGCUGUGACGAAGCGUGAGUGACGGUAAUUGGAGAAGAAGCACCGGCUAACUACGUG